rnacentral:rRNA from 1 species
GACGAACGCUGGCGGCGUGCUUAACACAUGCAAGUCGAACGGAAAGGCCCUGCUUUUGUGGGGUGCUCGAGUGGCGAACGGGUGAGUAACACGUGAGUAACCUGCCCUUGAUUUUGGGAUAACUUCAGGAAACUGGGGCUAAUACCGGAUAGGAGCUCCUGCUGCAUGUUGGGGGUUGGAAAGUUUCGGCGGUUGGGGAUGGACUCGCGGCUUAUCAGCUUGUUGGUGGGGUAGUGGCUUACCAAGGCUUUGACGGGUAGCCGGCCUGAGAGGGUGACCGGCCACAUUGGGACUGAGAUACGGCCCAGACUCCUACGGGAGGCAGCAGUGGGGAAUAUUGCACAAUGGGAGGAAGCCUGAUGCAGCAACGCCGCGUGCGGGAUGACGGCCUUCGGGUUGUAAACCGCUUUCGCCUGUGACGAAGCGUGAGUGACGGUAAUGGGUAAAGAAGCACCGGCUAACUACGUG